AAGAUAAGACGGAUUAGCGGCGGACGGGUGAGUAACACGUGAGUAACCUGCCUUUUACACAGGGAUAGCCCCGGGAAACCGGGAUUAAAACCUGAUGAAACUAAUCAAAAUCACAUGAUUAAGAAAGUUAAAAACUCCGGUGGUAAAAGAUGGACUCGCGUCCCAUUAGCUAGUUGGUGAAGGUAACGGCCCACCAAGGCAACGAUGGGUAGCCGGCCUGAGAGGGUGAACGGCCACAUUGGAACUGAGAAACGGUCCAAACUCCUACGGGAGGCAGCAGCA
rnacentral:rRNA from 1 species